rnacentral:rRNA from 1 species
AGCGAACGCUGGCGGCAGGCCUAACACAUGCAAGUCGAACGAACUCUUCGGAGUUAGUGGCGGACGGGUGAGUAACACGUGGGAACGUGCCUUUUGGUUCGGAAUAACUCAGGGAAACUUGUGCUAAUACCGAAUGUGCCCCUCGGGGGAAAGAUUUAUCGCCAUUAGAGCGGCCCGCGUCUGAUUAGCUAGUUGGUGAGGUAACGGCUCACCAAGGCGACGAUCAGUAGCUGGUCUGAGAGGAUGACCAGCCACACUGGGACUGAGACACGGCCCAGACUCCUACGGGAGGCAGCAGUGGGGAAUCUUGCGCAAUGGGCGAAAGCCUGACGCAGCCAUGCCGCGUGAAUGAUGAAGGUCUUAGGACUGUAAAAUUCUUUCACCGGGGACGAUAAUGACGGUACCCGGAGAAGAAGCCCCGGCUAACUUCGUG